CGGCAAACCCUAAUUUAUCUAUUUUGCAAAUUCUGUCUCUUCCAUUUCUUCUUCGGCUGCGUCGUCUUUCUCUCUCAGUGAUCAUCUCUUUCUCUUACAGUUCACUAAUUUGGAAGCAGUUGAAAUGAAAUGGAAAAGACGGAUAUGCUUAGCACUUGAAGUGGAUGCUCUUCGUAAAGAAAUAUUGAACUCGAAAAAACGAAAGCAAGACAUAAUGUCAUCGGACAGCGAAAGUGAGGAUACCAUUGCUGGAAUCACACGAGCUCGGGGGAAACUCCUGGCGAAUUUUUGUUACGAGUCGUAAAUCGUGUUGGAAAAAUCAAGCUCGAAUGGACUGAGCAACAAGGGAGACCGAUUGGACUUGGGUCAGCUUCGUUUAAUAGUGAAACAGAGACUAACAAAAUCAUUCGGAUAUUACUGGAAAAGUUUGUUGUCGAUAUAUCUUAGCCACAUGUUCAUAGAUAUAUUUUAUACGAGAUUGAAACUCGAUUCAAGGAUUAUCGAGCGAAACUACAUCGACAUUAUAAAAAAGUACGUGAUCCGACACGUGCUCGCGAAAAGCCGUAUAAAGACAUUAAACAACAAGACUGGAACAUAUUAUGUCAUAGAUGGGAAUCUCCAGCAUGGAAGGUUUUUUCGAAGUGACAUCGUGUCUUAAGAUCAAUAGAGGCAAAAGUUUUAUUUUGGGCGUCACAGGGGGUCAAUUGUGACGCUGAUAAGCUUAGCGAACAUGCAACCUUGGUUGGGUGUGAAGUAGGAAAAAUCUGCAAAAAAUAAAGUGGCAUGUAGUAAAUUGAGGUUCAAUCAUCGAGGUGGACCAAAAUCAUUCAAUGUCAUCGAGAAGAUUUGGAAUAAAUGAUUACAUUAAAAGCAUAUUAUGCUUCUCAAUAAGACCAAAAAACAGAAGAAAUAAUUGAGAUGGUCAUUGGGAAAAGAUCAAACUAUCUAAUAGGAACGGGAUAUGGACCGAAGCCCACAAAAAGUCAAGGAUCGUCAAAAUACUUGACGAAUAUGUGCAGUCAUUAGAGUCUCAUCUUGAAAGGACUGAGGAAGCAUUGGCAAAAGGCGAUCCAAGACCAUCAAAAGGCUACCCAAGAACAAAUAAAGAAAGCAUUGGAGGCUCAAAGCCAGGAAUUUAACAGGAAACAUCUCAAAAUGCAACAAAUGUUUCUUACGAGGGGAGGAAGUACAUCGAAUAGUAUCUUGGUGUUUUGAUUAUGUGCUCAAUUGUUAAAACUUUACGUAUGUUUUGUGAGUAUGUUUUCUAGAUUAUGUUUGUCUGGAUUUAUUGCUAGAGGAAUAUGUUUUCCCUAUUGUAUUAAAAACAUGUUUGAGGAACCUAUCUUAGUAAAGAUUCUUAGGCGAACUAUUCGAACAGGACUGUGUUCUUAUAUGCAUCAACUUUUGUAUUUCAACAAAGAACCCUGUUCUUAUA